rnacentral:rRNA from 1 species
GUAUAAGAGACAGCAGUCGCCGCGGUAAUACGUAGGGUGCAAGCGUUAAUCGGAAUUACUGGGCGUAAAGCGUGCGCAGGCGGUUAUAUAAGACAGAUGUGAAAUCCCCGGGCUCAACCUGGGAACUGCAUUUGUGACUGUAUAGCUAGAGUACGGCAGAGGGGGAUGGAAUUCCGCGUGUAGCAGUGAAAUGCGUAGAUAUGCGGAGGAACACCGAUGGCGAAGGCAAUCCCCUGGGCCUGUACUGACGCUCAUGCACGAAAGCGUGGGGAGCAAACAGGAUUAGAGACCCCUGUAGUCCCUGUCUCUUAUAC